UACUAGGUGUAGUUGGUUAUCACAUCUCGUUAACAUUUGUUAAUACAAUGCCGAGAAGGUCCUGGGAUCGAGCCCCAGCCUGAUCA